UGACAGCAGUGAUGAUAACGACAACGUGUCAUUUUGCUGAAUUUGUUUGAUGGGUUUAAGUCACUACCUCAUCUGAGCUGUCA